rnacentral:rRNA from 1 species
AUUGAACGCUGGCGGCAUGCCUUACACAUGCAAGUCGAUCGGCAGCACGGGUGCUUGCACCUGGUGGCGAGUGGCGAACGGGUGAGUAAUACAUCGGAACGUACCUUAUCGUGGGGGAUAACGCAGCGAAAGCUGUGCUAUUACCGCAUACGCCCUGAGGGGGAAAGCGGGGGAUCGAAAGACCUCGCGCGAUUAGAGCGGCCGAUGCCUGAUUAGCUUGUUGGUGGGGUAAAAGCCCACCAAGGCGACGAUCAGUAGCUGGUCUGAGAGGACGAUCAGCCACACUGGGACUGAGACACGGCCCAGACUCCUACGGGAGGCAGCAGUGGGGAAUUUUGGACAAUGGGGGCAACCCUGAUCCAGCAAUGCCGCGUGAGUGAAGAAGGCCUUCGGGUUGUAAAGCUCUUUUGUCAGGGAAGAAACACCGGCUCUAACACAGUCCGGGAAUGACGGUACCUGAAGAAUAAGCACCGGCUAACUACGUGCCAGCAGCCGCGGUAA